CCCAGGCCAUGUGACCCAUGUCCUGAAAAGGCACUGCGGGGGAGCCCCCCUUCUCUCCAUCUGUCCAAAUCAUGCUCAUCCUUUGGGGGUGACCUUCGGACAGCUCUGGCCUGCCCUCACCUGCUGGAAGCAGCCCUUGGGUCCCGUGCUGCCCAGAGGACAAAGCAGGGGACUUCCGCUGUCCAAGAGCAACCUCCCCUCGCUCCCCAUAAAAAGAAGCAGAAAAGAGAAGGAUGUUUUGAGGAAAAUAAAGGGUCGGUUGCAAGUGCCAAGAAGCCUGUGUCAAACAGCGCCAGGUGAGGGAGAGGGGACAGCACUGCUGAAGAGAAGGACCUGUCAAGUGUCCCAGCUUUGUUUCUCCUUGGAGAUCGCUCUCAUAAGGGAAGGUAGCUCCGUCUGUCCUGAAGCCCACUCCCCAAACCCCAGGACUGUCUGAUGCUAAGGGCUGUGAUGUGAGUGGGGGCGGGGAUGGGGCAGGCUGCCCAUCUCCACCCUAUCUGUGUCCCUAGCCAUGGUUUCCUGCCUAGCCCGGAGUGCACGCAUUCCUCGGUUUGGACAAACGUCCCAGAGGUCAGCACCUGGCCCUCUUCCAUUGUGCUGUCACCCUCUGCACAGAUGGACAGGGCAAGCUCCCUCACCCCGGCCUCUCCGUGCCUGACGCCGCUUCCUUCACCCUCUCCCUGGCCCUGCGGUGGUUUCUGAAGUGCAAGCCUGACCAUUCUACCAAGAGGCCUCUGUGCCUCUGGGCCUCUCCUUGCUUUCCAAAUAAAUUCGCAGCUCCUCCCACCUU